CGCCCCUCCGGGCCGCGCGCACGUGAGGGCGCCGCUCUGCCUGUCUAAUUUUAGCUCUGAGGUGUCAGGGUCGUGUGAGGUCACAGCACCGCAACCAACUCCAGGCCACUUCCUCCCAGGCAUCCAGUCAAGUCACAACCUGCAGCCUGCUCUUAAGGUGUAGACGUGAACAAGUGGCUCCCAGUCCAUCUCUGCAUUCAUAAACUGAAGAUGAUGACAUGAUCCCAAGGGAGCACAAAGCCUGGGGACCAGCCAGAAAGAAUGGGUUGCUGUCUUCCACACUCCACCCUACAGUUUCCUCCUCCUUGGAAUUUCAUCGCCAGGCCUUCGCUCAAGCUGCUUCCUCUUUCUAAAUGUCAUCUUGCUGUUUUCAUGGAUGUGAGCUCUCCCUCUCUGCUCAAAACAUCACAGGAUUCCAACUCUCCUCAGCAACCUUUGCCCUUCUGAAUUCCUGACAUUCUCCUCGGCCACAUGGCCCUGUGUCGUAAUUCCAGGGUUAUAAAUUAGAGUGUCACACAUCAGCACAGAAACUGCAAAUCUGUGCACAGAGCUCUGUGGCACAGCUACCGGGGCAGCUUCCCAGCUGGCCCUUGUGCCUCUGUGUGGAUGCAGCUGUGCCCCAGUGCUUAGCACUUGGGCCCCCACCCACCUUGUUGGUGAAUUCACCACGUCUAGCUCUCUGUCUGCAGGAGC